UACGUAGGGUGCGAGCGUUGUCCGGAAUUACUGGGCGUAAAGAGCUCGUAGGUGGUUUGUCGCGUUGUCCGUGAAAACUCACAACUCAAUUGUGGGCGUGCGGGCGAUACGGGCAGACUGGAGUACUGCAGGGGAGACUGGAAUUCCUGGUGUAGCGGUGGAAUGCGCAGAUAUCAGGAGGAACACCGGUGGCGAAGGCGGGUCUCUGGGCAGUAACUGACGCUGAGGAGCGGAAGCGUGGGGAGCGAACAGG
rnacentral:rRNA from 1 species